CUACGGGUGGCAGCAGUGGGGAAUAUUGGACAAUGGGGGAAACCCUGAUCCAGCGAUGCCGCGUGUGUGAAGAAGGCCUGCGGGUUGUAAAGCACUUUCGGUUGGGAGGACUGCUUCUAGCACUAAUAUUGUUGGAAGUUGACGUUACCUUCAGAAGAAGCACCGGCUAACUCCGUGCCAGCAGCCGCGGUGAAUACGGAGGGUGCCAGCGUUAAUCGGAAUUACUGGGCGUAAAGCGCGCGUAGGCGGCUAGAUCAGUCGGGUGUGAAAGCCCCGGGCUUAACCUGGGAACUGCAUCCGAUACUGUCUAGCUUGAGUACAGGAGAGGAGAGUGGAAUUCCACAUGUAGCGGUGAAAUGCGUAGAUAUGUGGAGGAACACCAAUGGCGAAGGCAGCUCUCUGGCCUGAUACUGACGCUGAGGUGCGAAAGCGUGGGGAGCAAACAGGAUUAGAUACCCUUGUAGUC
rnacentral:rRNA from 1 species